AUUGAACGCUGGCGGCACGCCUAACACAUGCAAGUCGAGCGGCAGCGAGACUCGUAGCAAUACUAGUUGUCGGCGAGCGGCGGACGGGUGAGUAACACGUAGGAAUCUGCCCUUACGCGGGGGAUAACCAAGGGAAACUUUGGCUAAUACCGCAUAAUCUCGAGCGAGCAAAGCUGCCCGCAAGGGUGGCACUUGAGGAGGAGCCUGUGUCCGAUUAGCUAGUUGGUGGGGUAAUGGCCUACCAAGGCGAUGAUCGGUAACUGGUCUGAGAGGACGACCAGUCACACUGGGACUGAGACACGGCCCAGACUCCUACGGGAGGCAGCAGUGGGGAAUAUUGGACAAUGGGGGCAACCCUGAUCCAGCGAUGCCGCGUGAGUGAAGAAGGCCUUCGGGUCGUAAAGCUCUUUAGGUUGGGAAGAAGGGUAUUGGCUGAAUAAUCCAGUACUUUGACGGUACCGACAGAAUAAGCACCGGCAAACUCUGUGCCAGCCGCCGCAGUAAUAC
rnacentral:rRNA from 1 species